rnacentral:misc_RNA from 1 species
GGCCAUGGUCAUGAUUUUUCAUCUUUUGUUUUUUUAGUAAUAGUUAGAUGAUGAAGAAGUGUGGCUUGGCUAGUUGCCUUGUUUUGUUUUUUAGCGGCCAAUUUGAAGUGGAAAAGCGCGUAGAAUGGACCGUUGUGGUAGGAUGACGGGGGCAACAUUUGAUUUUAUUAUUUGAAUUAUGAAAGACAUCAGACAUGCUCGCAAUUUUGUUAAUAU